AUGUUUAAAGCAACCCUGAUGCAACAGAAUCUCAGGGCAAGGCAGCAUAUUAGUCAUUCUUCCCAAAUCCGUGGCCUUUGCAGGUUUCUUAAUCCUUCUGUCUUUAUCCAAGUUUUGGAUACAAAUGCUGCCGAGAGGGGCAGAGCCCAGAUGCUGUGGCACCCCCCUACAUGUAAACCCCUCGGACGUCCCGGCCCCCUUUCCCUCCCUCUGCACACCUGCUGCUCAGUGUUGACACCCACCCUCAAGCACCCACUUAGAGAAACCUCCAAGGACACCAGGGAGAUCUUGUGAAAUGGUCUCAUGAGCCAAGUAACGCUUCCCUUCAGGGUGAUCCUUGGGUACUGUCUAUGGCCCUCUAGUACUGCGCGUACCACAGUGACCAUCAUACUCUCCUGUCGCUAGAACACGAGCUCCAUAUUUAUUUCGGAAUCUUCAUUAAACAGAUUUCUUGGGUACCAGCACUGUCAAGGUCUGUGUGAGAUGCUGCAUUUAGAUUUGAACAAAAUAGAUGUGGUCCUUGGAAUCCAAAAGGGUCUCAUCUACUGAGGAAGAGAGUUAUUACAUAAAUCGACAAGCAGGGAGCUCCUGCUGGGCAGAGUGGAUGAAGGAUCCAGGGCUGCCCUAGCUGUGGCUGAGGGAUGAGGCGGCCAGAAGGAAAGGAGAGACAGAAUCAAAGUGAGGAUUUAGCAAAAUUCUCUGAGGAGCCAAUAUUUAAUUUGAGGCCCAUUAUGACUAAGAGGUCUUCAGCUUGUUCCAGCUUGAGUGGGGAAAAAAAAGGGUGCCCACCAGAUGCAACAGUGUGUGGGGAAACCUGGGGCCCUGGGGCUGGAACGGAUGGGGCAAGGGGAGAGAGUGAGGAUGUGAGGGGCAGGGCCCCAGACACUGUGGGGCCUUGGGAUUUUGUAUUUUAUCCUAAGUUGUAAACCACUGAAGAUUUUAAGGCAGGAGCUAAUGGAAUCUGUACACCAUGAUGCCUUGUGUUUACUUGUUGGGUAUUGAGGAUUUACAAAUGAAUGAAUUAAACAUAAUGAAUAGAGUUCUGCAACAUUUUGGAAUUUUACCAACCUCAGGCAAUUAGACUAAUUUGAUAUAGCUGGUUCUUGGGAAACGUAAUGGGAAUUUUUUGAUUUUCAGGCACUUGCCAUUUAUUUUGCCCUUCUACCAACUCCUCUCUUUAUUUUUAGGUCAUAUAUCUCCCCAUUGUGUGCCUUCUUGGUAGCCAGCUCUCCCUUGGCCAAGAGGCUGGCAUGAGAGCCAAACUAUUCCAACCUGUCUCCCUCUUUUAGGACUU
rnacentral:lncRNA from 1 species